rnacentral:lncRNA from 1 species
CUCCCAUGUCUGUAUUUUAAUAAAGGGCAUCAGUUUACACAGUUAUGCUGAACUGUGUUUUUUGGUUGUGUGAUUUAAACUAGGUGCAUUAGGAUGUCUGAUGGUAGCUUUAUCUCUGCAGAAGCCUUGCUGGAGUUGAACAGAGCAUGUCUGCUCUUUGUACUAACGCUCAUGGAAGAAGACCUUGAGGGAAGGUACAUGACUGAAGCGAAACUUUUCCUUGUAAAUGCUACUCAGGCAUCACAAUCAAAGUCAAGAAAAAGACAAGUCCCAGAAAGAACAGAAACUUGAGGUUGCAAGUUUGCAAAUUGGUCCUGUCCUCAGAGAAGCCCAAAUGAAAACCUAAGUGCCGGGGUAAAAGAAAAUCCAAUUCCUAUCAACACAGAAGAAUGUUCAGGUGCACUGCUGGGAAUACAGAAGACUGACUUUGUGAGCAGCUGAAUUACUGAAGCCUGUUUUCCUAUGAAUUCAUGUCGUCUGCACUCAGAAAGUUUUUCUAGCACUAGCUGUAAUAAAUGCAGUGUACCAUUGUAACUAUGAAAUAAA